UCCUCUUUCUCUCCCACACCCGGCCCGGGCCCCUCCCGUCCGUCUCCCGCAGGCCCCGCCACAGUCGACCGGCUCGGUCCGCGGGCGUGGUUGGCUCUGGCCCCGGCGGCGGCGGCAGGGCCUCCCGGAGUCCCGGCCCCUCCCGCCGGCCAGGCCCCCGGGCCGCCGCCCCGGACACCGAGGGAACGCGGAGGAGGAAGGGGGAGCCAGGGGACUGACCGGCGACAUGAGCCACCUCAGCCUAGGCUCGGCCGACCCGCGCCCCCCGCUCCCUCUGGGGCCGGCUGGGCUCCCCGCCCCUCACUCACCCCCCCCGGUCCGGCGCCUCCUCCACCUCCUCCUCCACCUCCUCCCUCUUCUCGGCCGUGGCUCCUGCUCCGGCUCUGCGCGGCGACGGCGGCAGCGGCGGCAGCGGCCUCGAGAGCGGCGGCGGCGGCGGCGGCGGCGCCUCCAGAACGCGCACGCACGCAGCACGUUGGCCCCGCCCCCAGUUCCACCCCGCCCCUCUGAGCCGCCGUCAGCUAGACUUUGGCCCCGCCUUCCCCACGGCUUUCCGGAGUCCGCUUAAAGGAGCCGCGCAGAGGAGCGUGCACAGGUUGCUCGGGCGGUAGAAGAAGGCAGGUGCGUGUCCUGAAAUGCAUGAAGUACAUCCUAGUGGAGAGUGCACACACAGAAGGAAGCAGCUACUCAGCCAUGAGGCACUGUAACUCCUAGGAAGAAUCAAGGAUUUCUGCAGCAAGGAAAUUGGAUACGGAUGAGCACCAGGGAGGACACUGCUGGCCACUGAAGGGAAAGCCCAAUGUAGGCAGGAGGCCAGAAUGCGCCAACGAAGGAAGACUGAACACCAGAAGACAGAAAGUUCAGAACACUGAACACAGAAAGACUGAAGCCUGGGCUUUCAGGGGAUACAAUGACACAUAAAGCACAGACAGUGAGACCUGAGAGGAAGAAGAUAAAAGGAAGGCUGUGGAACCAGUGUGUUAAGAAAUCUCAUAGCUGACAAUUUGCUAGCAAAGAACAGGAUGCCUACAAAAUUCGUUAAGUGUCAGAUUUCACAGCUUCCUCUGCUCUGCCUAAAAAGGAAAACUCACAUCUUCAAGCUGUUACAAUAAAACUAUUGGCAGUAUGUAAAGUGA